CUUCCCAUUUGACUACCACCUAUUUGCUUUACAAAAUAAGUGGCUAUGCUUAUGGGAUAAAGAAAUGACUGCCAUAGUCUGAAGGAGAAGACUUACAAUAUCUUUUUCCUAUAUGAAAUGGCAGAACAUACUACA
ensembl:snoRNA